rnacentral:rRNA from 1 species
GCCUACGGGGGGCAGCAGUGGGGAAUAUUGGACAAUGGGGGGAACCCUGAUCCAGCGACGCCGCGUGAGUGAAGAAGUAUUUCGGUAUGUAAAGCUCUAUCAGCAGGGAAGAAAGAAAUGACGGUACCUGACUAAGAAGCCCCGGCUAACUACGUGCCAGCAGCCGCGGUAAUACGUAGGGGGCAAUCGUUAUCCGGAUUUAUUGUGUUUUACGGGUGCGCUGGCGGAUUUUUAAG